CCACGCCCUAAACGAUGACAAUUAGCUGUUGGGUUUUGAAAGACUUAGUAGCGAAGCUAACGCGUGAAAUUGUCCGCCUGGGGACUACGGUCGCAAGACUAAAACUCAAAGGAAUUGACGGGGACCCGCACAAGCGGUGGAUGAUGUGGAUUAAUUCGAUGCAACGCGAAGAACCUUACCUGGUCUUGACAUGUACGGAAUCCUCCCGAAACGGAGGAGUGCCUUCGGGAACCGUAACACAGGUGCUGCAUGGCUGU
rnacentral:rRNA from 1 species